rnacentral:misc_RNA from 1 species
GAGCAUUUCCAGCAAAAGUGCGAAACGCCUACGCGGGGAAAUCAGUCCACUGGACUGAUUUCUGAUCCCGCUUCGAUGCGUUGGAUAAUGCGAUAAAAUAAAUAAUCAGAGCAUUUUCCAGCCAAAAGUGUGAACCUGUUUUGCGUUCGUAAAUGUGACAAAACGAAAAGCCGGAG